AGCAAGACAAUCAUUUCUGGUUCAAAGACGUGCUACUCAUCAAACGAAUGCUCUCACAAAUAGUGUAGAGUUUAAUGCACUAACCAGCUUUACAAUAGACCAAAGGUUUAUGCAACAUGACAAAUCAAAGCUGUUUCCACAUACAGAUUUUACUGUGACUGUGUAUUUAAAAUGUACUUGUUACUGUGCUUUUAAUUAUAAUCAAGUAUUAUAAGGAAAGUCUGAGUAUUUUUGUACAAACACAGAAGCCUGGAGAUGUAUACAUGGGAUAAUGUAUGUAUUUUCUCACAUAUAUGCCUAUUAGUUUGAAUAACAAGGAUAUUCAUUGAAAACAUAUUUUAUAUAUACUGUACACUGAUUAAUUGACUAAAAGCCAGUAGGUCUGAACAUUAGGUGGACAGCAUGGCCACUUUUCUGUAUUAGGAUGUGCUUGUUUUUCCUUUUAAGGCUAAGAGGAGUAGAUCUUUUCCUACUGAAUGGGACCAUUAAGAUGUAGAUAAUCUAUAUGAUGUAUGUCAAAAGAACUUGAGCAUUAUAAAGACAUUUUACUGACCUUUAAGUAAACACUGAUUUGGUAACUUAAACUUUGUCAGAGUGUUCUCCAGUGUGCCACUUUCCUCGUUGUGUUUGCAUUUGUGUUAUAUUCAUAUAUAUCACACACACACUUUCUACACUGAUUUUAUUAGAGUUGAAUAGAGAACUCAAGUUUAUUGUGUCUGUUAAGAAAAUAAGAGACUAAUGCAGUAGACAUAACUGUUAUAAGGUAGCUAAUGUUUAUUAAACCGUGGUGAUGUAAAUUUCAUGUACUUUGGACCUUAAAAUGUAUGUGUUUGGGACAUUAGUUGUUAUUUAUUCUUUACUCUGAAGAAUAAAGUGCAACUCUAAUAGUCUUCUCUGAUUUUAGUAGUCUAUUUGUUAUUGUGUGAGAAAUAUGAUAAUUUAAUCUGAUAUUUGUCAUUGGGCCAAUUUCUGCAAGAAAAAAAUAGAAGAGAAGCGUGUUUAAGUGUUUUCAGUGUGGUAAUUUUAUUUCAUUUGAAAUGUAUAAUUUAAAAAUAUAUUGGAACACUGUAUUGACUCAUACUCAUGGUUGAGGUUCUGCAAAAUAAAAAGUAUCACUGCGUGAUGGACUGGUGUCUCAUCCAGGGUGUGAUGGAUACCUGAUCGACCAUAACCUUAAUCAGCACAAAUCUAUUACUGAAGAAGAAUUAAUGAGUCUGGCAUAGCUUACUUUGCCUGAACUCACUACUUGCAAGAAAAAAUUAGACUGUGAGGCCACUUACAAAUAUGAACUAGCCUACAGCUCUA
ensembl:lncRNA